CCUGGCGGCACUAGCGCGGUGGUCCCACCUGACCCCAUGCCGAACUCAGAAGUGAAACGCCGUAGCGCCAAUGGUAGUGUGGGGUCUCCCCAUGCGAGAGUAGGGAACUGCCAGGC
rnacentral:rRNA from 5 species